CCAGAAAAAGCCUUAGUUUAGCUCCGCCCCGCUCGGCCUGGGUGGCAGCGAUGGCCCAGGUCCUCCGGCUCUCGGCCCUGUGUGCAGCUGGCACGCGCGUGUCUCCGCGAGUCUGCGCGUGUCUGUCCGUGCGUGAGAGUGAGAUGAAGCGGAGUCCUACGCCUGGGUGUUUCCUUCCAAGUGAUUUUGAUCAGCAAUCCAUUAGGGGAUCAUGAAAAAAAAAAAAUCUGGCUAAAAGGAUGAAAACUGAGUAAGUACACAGAACUUUGAACUUGAAACGGAAUGAGACCAAACGCAAGCAAAGCCCUGACAGUAACCACAUACAGCCAAACUGCUAUCCCCCUUUUUUAUGUUAAAAGCCGUGAAUGCUAGCAGCAAAGUGGCAAUUUAAAACUGAACGAAAGGAAGCAGCAGUUCUACAACAUAAAAGGCUGGGAGCGGGAUGGCUUUAAAACCGGAGGGAAAAUGAGAAACUGCUAGGACAACCUGGCCGGCGCCCAGCUGUGCAACAGGCACUUCGCGUUAAAUCGACUGCGUCUUCGGCUGGUUUCUGCCUCCAGACCCGCUUUACGGUGCUUUCUUUUUGCCCCAAAAGAGGAGACAAGCUGAACUCCUGACUUUAAGAAUGUUGUGGAAGUAAGGCAUUACCGGAAGGAACUCUUGGUAGCUGGGGAUGCAUUCGGAUGAUUUCUUAUAACUAUCUUUAUUUUGACAUCUUAAAAAAAAAUCUGGCCAGUCACUUCUUACUGUCCUUCAUUUAAGGGCUAUUAACCACCUCUGACCGCUGGGUCCUAUGAAUCUUUGGCAUGAACCUUCGGAAAGUUUUCAAGCGGAGAUGGGGCGAACUUGAUUGGAAUUGUGUAAAAAGAAGACAGAUGUGUGUUUUUUUCACACUGACAACGUGGCCAGGGGCCAAGUGAUCCUGGACUGGUCAUGGUCUGUCGACCCGGGUUCCUUUGUCGCCGGCGAUUUUGCCCCCGACCUUUCCUGGUGGGUUUGGUGGUGGCGAUCUGUCUCUUUUACCAGACCCUGACACUCCGAGGGACUAAGAAGAUUGCAGCGGACGUCUCUGGCACUGUCCCACACACACCCUCUCAAACUCAGGCUAGCAGAUGUGAAGAAGGAUACCGGCAGGACAAACAAUGCUUCCUUCUCUCUGCGAGUACCCAGGAAACCAGGAAGAUUGAAGAAUCGAUUGAGAGACACUUCGGCAGUCUCAGCAGAAGGGCCGUCCUCCACAGGCCUCCUUCCUCCAGCAGAGCACAGCUUCAGAUACACCAGCACCUUCUUGCUCAGCAUGGAUACAGCGUUGUCACUGUGGAAGAAAGGCUUGGUGGUGGUCUAGGUCCGGAGCUGCUGGACCAAGGUGGUUUGAACUCCUGGGAUCUGUUCAUUUGCCUGCCUUCUAGGGAAGCUGAUGGGAAACCCUGCAUACCCAGGGAGCACAUGUGUCGACUAAGCCUACAUCAAAGGGUAAAUGUGUUACCAGAAAUACAGCCUCAGCUUUGCAGGAGAGAAGGCUUGUGUGAAAUAACCAGAAGAUUUCCAGAAUUUCGACUUCCAGUGAGUUCCUCUGUGUGCCUGGAUCAGGAGACACAGUCACGGCUGAGGGUUUCCAGUCAUCUCUCAAAAGCAGAGAAGCCACAUGUAUGGAAACCUCGGGACUGGCACCGCAAACAGUUGAAUCUGACUACAGUCGUUGCCCCGCACGAAGCAAUCUCCAGAGCAGAAGAGCUAUCUGUGAUUCUUAAGGCAUAUGUGUUGGUGACCUCCUUAAGGCCUUUGCGGGCCUUCAUUCAUUCAACUGGCACGGUAUGGAGCCCACCAAAGAAGAAACGCUUCACUGUCAAGCUGCAGAUGUUUUUUGAGACAUUCCUGAGGACCAGUUCGCCUCUGCAAGCACUGGACAGCAUGAAGGAAGCCAUUAGCAAGCUCCUGUUGGUAGCUGAGGUGUUUAGUGACGCAUCUACUCUGGGACCAAAGACCUUCAAUAGAUGUAUACAGUGUUUUCAGCUUUUAACCUUUGAUGUUGGUUAUGGAGAUUCAGGAUAUCCUGUGGUGCUCCAGGUACAUGAACAUUUACAUUUUCACGAUGAUGAGAAUUUCAGCGCGGAGGACCAAAAUGCGGAAAAUAUUAUUUUAAGGGAUACUUUCGACUUCCUCUUCUCCAAUGCGUCUUCACUGUCCAUGGUUUCUGAGAUGUUGCAGAGGCGUGACUCAGCAGGUGCAUUCGUGGACGGAAACUAUGAAAAGGAAUUAAAUCAGUGCCUGUCAUUCGAGGAAAUUCACUCAAUUAGGACUUUUGUAAAGGAACUUGGGAGUUUGGGACAAUUCCAACUGCUCUUCCCGUCCAGUGUUCCUGGGAUUCGGUCUCUGAUGGGUGAAUUUUAUGAUAUGGCAACUCCUGGCUCAGUCCUGUCGCAGUACUGGUCCCUUUUAAAUGUAUUUGAACAAUUUUGGCUCAUGAAUAAAAAGGCACAGCUACAGCCACUGGAAUGGAAUUCUCCGACAAGAAAUGAGACCAUUGAGGAACCACCCAGGUCACUGGAAGGAAUCCAAAGUGGAAAAGAUGCAGCUCCACGAGUUUUGUUCGAAAAUAAAGAUAUACAUUGCAGUGAUGAGGAAGAUGUGCUCUGCCAUAUCAAGAAGAUCAUCACCCACCCCCGUUUAGAACUCAGUCCCGAGUUUAAUCCGAAGAUCAAAGAGUAUUACUGUGAAGUGCCAUUCGAUGUGCUAACUGUGAGGAUCGGAGCAGAGACCUCAAAGUGUCAGUGCAAGGCGCACCUGCAGGAGCAGGCAGGGCCAAGUUUUGCCACCUAUCCUCUGGGAAUAGGAAUGAACAGAAUCUCUGUGCUUGUGGUGGACGAGUCUCACGCAGGGGGUGCCGCCCUAACCACGUAUAAACUCACCAUCUAUAGAGAAGAUCGCCCGAGUCUGCCCUUCUUCGAGGACUUCACAGCGUGCGGCUUUGUACAAGAUUGUGACUUAUUGAUUCACCCAGAAGAAACCUGUGGGUUGCAGCCUAUUUCUGCAGAAUACAUUAAAGCCAUUUCACAGCCUGAAAUAGAGAGUUGUCCAUCUGGGGACACUAAAGGCCAGUGGAUUGUGCCCUGCCUUACUUGUUCAGACAACAGGACCUGUGACUGGAGAGAAAUAACCUGGCAACCACACAACUGCCAACACAACAUUCUAACCAAGCCAGAACUUCAACAGUGCCUACAAGGAAGAAAGAUUCUUUUCAUAGGAGAUUCCACCAACAGAGGGAUGAUGUACUAUCUAAUCGAGAGACUGAAUGAAACACUUCAGGAGUGGCAGAAACUGCAUGGCACUAAACUCUACCCCAGUGUCAAUGGUGGGAAGAGUCCGAUCAGUUACUCCUACUAUCCCCAGUUCUGGAUAAGGCCUUCAUUGAGACCAGCAUUUGAGAAAGCACUUGAACAUCUCUUGCAAAGAUCACAGCCCCUAGAGAAUACUGACCAGACGGUAUUGGUUGUUGGUGGUGUCCAGUGGCUUAAUUCCAAUCACCUGCAAAUUAUUCACAAGGUUUUAAAGAGGGAAAAUUUGCUGAAUAUUCUAGUGAUCAUCAAAACAUUGGGGAUUGGAUUUCACCUGCCGGUGGACGGGGUGCACUUCCUAACCCAGGGUGAAGUACGGAACUUAUAUAAAGAAAAUCUGAGCAUUCUGGAAACUGCCAAAAAGUAUGGCUAUGAAGUAGUAGACACAUUCACUAUCACAAUGGGACGGCACAAAGAAUUUCUGCAGGGCAAUUGUGGAUGCCAUUUUCAUGAGAAACAUUACAUGAAGAGGAGACUAUGUGACCACCAGCUUCAUGAAAUGAGGCAUUAAAAGUCAUUGCUCAGACAUGAAAGACUCGGGAUGGUGCAUGGUUGAAGGCAGGAAGGUGUGGGAGUCUGAAGAGGGCUGCCUUCUUCAAAAGACUUCACACCUACCUCCUUUGCACCUGAAAUCCCAGUGAGUUUAUUAAGAUUUCCCCCCAGAACUUGCCAACUUUAGAUGCCCCAGUACAGGGGAAUGCCAGGGCCAAAAAGGGGGAGUGGGUGGGUAGGGGAUUGGGGGGAUGGGUAUGGGGGACCUUUGGGAUAGCAUUGAAAAUGUAAACGAGGAAAAUACCUAAUUAAAAAAAAAAAGAUUUCCCCCAGAAACAUUGGGGAAAGGUUACUUACAGGAGCGUGUGACUCAAAGAUAGCUACAUCACAAAAAACCUACCCAACAUGGGUGAUAUACAUCAUAGAAACUGCAAUUCCAGAGUACUCAGCUCAACCUGGCGGCAGCUCUACCAAGGUCUUCUACAACAGUGUCACUGUUUAAUGGAGAUAGUGUUUGAGAAUCCUGUAGCCAUCUGGGCUUCUUGAGUCUUGUAAGUUUCUUAGCUGCUUCAGUUGUUCCAAUCUCCUACCGCCCUUGAGGAGGGAAUGCUUCAGUUCAGAAGAAACAGCCACACCACACUUGGAAUCUGAGCUCUCUUAUUAACACUUGUAUGACUGCAGGUCCCAGGAGACUUUGCUGGCACUCAGAGGAAGGGGACCCCAAUUUACCUUCCCAUCAGAUCUUGAAUCACUCCAUUUGUUCUUUCUUGAUCGGUUCCUUUUACAGUCCAGAAUAUACUUGGUUGACUAGUCAUAUGGCAGUUUAUUUCUGAUCCUGUUUUAUUUAUCUGACAUCACUCCACCUUGAUCCCCAGAUCCUCACAGUACUCAAAAGCCAUUAAGACAGUGUCUGAUCUUUGUGCUUUGCUAAUAGAUGCACAUCAUCUUCUUAAGUGACCAGUGACACUAAAUCUCAGAGAAGUAAGAGCCAGAAACCAUGGUGGGGAACAUCUAAGUUUUCAACUAUCAGCCUGAAACUUGGCCAUAUUGUUUCAGAACAGAUUUUAAGUUAUAGGACACUGUGUAUCUAGUAAUUAUUUCCACAAGAAAAUAUACCACCCAUAGAAUAUGUGUCCUAUUUAUAAAAACUACGUGCUUAGAAAUACAAGCCUGAGUAUUUUGGAAGAGAAAAAACAAAACAAAACAAAACAAAACAAAACACAAUGAACCAUCCCAGGAUCAUGGUGUAUCACAAAAGCAAGCCAAUCAUCACCAAACUAAAUGAAAAUGAGCACUUUGAAAAACAGCAUACAUUUUCAAACCUCUUUUAGAAAAUGUUUACUUAUUUAUGUUUAUAUGAUGUGUCUUCAGUUCAUACACUGAAGAAGGGUCUGUGCUUUUCUUUUUCUGCCUCAGAGCACUGAAAGACUAACAAAGGAUUGUCCUCCAAAGACAGAGAACACAGCUCCAGUUAUAAACGGAAGAUGUCCUUCCCACGUUUAUAUUACAUCUCUCUCCUGUCGUUUACACUAAUAGUCCUGGAAUAUAAAAACCACACACACAAAAAAAAAUUCUUUGAGCUGCCCAUAGUAGAAUACUGAUUUAUAAUUACUUCUAGCAGAAACUCUUUAAUUCACAAAAGAAAGAUUAAAGCAUAAUAAGGAAAAUAUUUCACUUAUGAGGUUAUAGCAUUGUCCUACAACCAUCAAACACACAUGGUGUUUUGUUGACGGUAUUCCUAAGGUUUUGAUGGCAAGCCAUGCGCGUCUCCCACAGAUGAUGUCAGCUGAUUCCCGAGUGCUGCGGACCGUGCUCAGGCUCUGGGGAUUGUGAUCAAAUCAGCUUCCAGGGGCACUUGCCUUUGUGGCUAUAACACGGGGUUGAUGUGAUCAUCUUUCUCAAACUCAGCCACUGUUCAUGAACACGAUCUUUCUUUAUGUGCAUUUUGAAGUCCUGGUAUCUCGGUGUCAUAAUGACACUGACAUCUUAGUGUCACAUAUUGAAACUGUAAAUAUUCUGUUGAUUAUCAUCUUUUCCUUUAUGUUUAUGUCUUAUGAGACUAGCAAAAAAAGAAGAAGAAUAAAGAAGAAGAAGAAGAAGAAGAAGAAGAAGAAGAAGAAGAAGAAGAAGAAGAAGAAGAAGUUGACCUGAAAAUAAAAGAAAAAAAAAUACAAGAAAUGACAAGAAUUUUGGUGCACGAGUUUUAUCCUCUUAAACUUAACUAAACAAUCCUCCUGUACAGGGAAGGAUACCUUUGAGAAGCUCGUAUACACAUUGUAGCGAGAUAUUAACAUCUGGUUGCUGGGUGGCCAGAGUUCUACUGCAGAUAUAACAAACCUGGUUCUGUGAAUUCUGCCUGUCACAGGUGAAAGUGAAGGUCCCGGAAAGCCUCGUUUGUCCGCCAAGGCACCAAAAGAGAAUAGUCUGUCACCAUUGAACCUACAAGCUGUUUCCAAAUGGUAGUGAAAUCAAAGUUAUCCAGACAGCACCACGUUAUCAAGAUGAAAAGAUCCAAGAACCAUAUUGUGGGGAAGUACUUCAGUAGUCA